ensembl:lncRNA
UUGCUUACUAGCUGGGUUAGCAGGAAUAUUUAUGUAAUAUAGUUGUUAAUAAUAUUUGACAGAUAGAAGCUUCUUUUGUAGCUCCCUUAUGAUCGCCAUAACAAAUGGAUCUAAAUGUUUGAUUUGGCUGAUUUUUUUAGGCUGGAUGUCCAGGUGUGCUUCCUCCCAGGAAUUUGUGUGUGAUCUUUCAUUCAUUAGAUUCCACCGAGAGCUAACGAGGGGAGCCUCUUCUGACUGGACUGUUACCACUGUUUGGCACUGGCACUGGAAACUAGCUGAAUAAUCGGACUCAGCUUUGCUCAGAUUUGUCAUUUUUUGCUUUCGCAUGGAAGGCAACCUUCAAAGUGAGAAACUGUACUGAUCAUUUUCCAUUUGGAUCACAUUAAAUGGGACCCAGAGUGCUGGAGCUGUGCAGACACUGAGUACUACUUGAUGGUUUUUCUUUGAUGCCCCUAAAGCCUUACAUGUCAGACUAGAAGUAGUGGUACUGUACAGUCUCUCUGAUUCACCUGUCAACCCCCGUCAGGCAUUUUUAAAUGAGAUUCUGUAUAUGCUUCACCAUUACUGUUCUUAUGGUCUGUUGACUAUCUCGUUUGUGUUUUCUUAUUGAAAAUGUUAUCCCUUUAAUAGACACUCCAAAGACAAAAACAGUAUAUGAACAGAUUGAAGUUAUUUUCUGGAUCAUUGACCAACUUCAUGUACAUGCUUAUUUUUUUGGGACCUGUCAAGUACAUGCUUUAUUAAAUUGAGUUUGGUCAUUUGUCAUUGUAUUACAGCUGUAACCAUGAUAUCUUUUGUCACGUUCCAAAAGUUAUUUUUAUUAAAUCUGAAAAAGAAACUACAAAUUAUGAUGGAGAUACACAGGUAUUUUUUCUAGAAACUAAGAAGUAAUAAUGAUCUGAUUGGUGUCUGAGUACCAGUAUGUUCUAUCUAUAAACUGCAUCACCAAUUUCUGUCCUUUCCCUGAUGAAAAUCAGGACCCAACAGAUUCCAUUUGUUCUACACCAGAGGUGUCAAACUCCAGUCCUCCAGGGCUGAUGUCAUGAAACUUGUAAAUGUCUCCCUGCUGCAACACACCUGAAUAAAAUUAGUAGGUCAUUAGCAAGACUACAGAACUUGACUGCAUGCUGAGGUGGCAAUUCAGUCAUUUGAUUCAUGUUGCAGCAGCUCAUGAGUGAAUGAGCAUGGUGCAAUAAAAGUACAUUUUUACACUUACAUUAGGAGCUGCCACCUCAGCAUGCAUUCAAGUUCUACAGAGUCUUGCUAAAGACCUGCUACCUUUUUUCAGGUGUUUUGCAGCAGGGACACAUUUACAAGUUUGACAUGACAUCGGCCCUCAAGCACUGGAGUUUGACACCCCUGCUCUACACCAAUGGUUGCCUCUGCAGUUUCUUAUCCCC